UACGGGGGGGGCAAGCGUUGUUCGGAAUUACUGGGCGUAAAGGGCGCGUAGGCGGCCUGCUAAGUCGGACGUGAAAUCCCCCGGCUCAACCGGGGAACUGCGUCCGAUACUGGUGGGCUCGAAUCCGGGAGAGGGAUGUGGAAUUCCAGGUGUAGCGGUGAAAUGCGUAGAUAUCUGGAGGAACACCGGUGGCGAAGGCGGCAUCCUGGACCGGUAUUGACGCUGAGGCGCGAAAGCCAGGGAAGCAAACGGG
rnacentral:rRNA from 1 species